AGAGUUUGAUCCUGGCUCAGGACGAACGCUGGCGGUGCGCCUAACACAUGCAAGUCGAACGGUGAACCGGGCUUCGGCCCGGGGAUCAGUGGCGAACGGGUGCGUAACACGUGGGCAACCUGCCCCCGACCCUGGGAUAACCCCGGGAAACCGGAGCUAAUACCGGAUACUCUCCUUUGACCACAUGGUCAGAAGAGGAAAGGUCCGCCGGUCGGGGAUGGGCCCGCGGCCUAUCAGCUUGUUGGUGGGUAACGGCCUACCAAGGCGACGACGGGUAGCUGGUCUGAGAGGACGACCAGCCACACUGGGACUGAGACACGGCCCAGACUCCUACGGGAGGCAGCAGUGGGGAAUCUUGCGCAAUGGGCGAAAGCCUGACGCAGCGACACCGCGUGGGGGAUGAAGGCCUUUCAGGUCGUAAACCCCUUUCGGCAGGGACGAAGCGAUCUCGUGACGGUACCUGCAGAAGAAGCCUCGGCUAACUACGUGCCAGCAGCCGCGGUAAU
rnacentral:rRNA from 1 species